CACCAACUCGUCCAAUGUUCGGCUUUGCGAGCAACACAGUAGGAUGACUAAAGGACGUAACACUUCUGGACGGGAAUUAUAUGUUGAAGAAUUGUUUUGAAAUGUACAAUAACGAAGAUAUUGGCAUUCUCCUUGCACCAUCAUCUGCGAGCUGCAAAGGCUCUCCACCUAAAGUAUGACAAGGAAGCAGUAGACUCAUCAUUCACGAUGCUUAUUUUAUGUGCUUCCAAGGGAUGCGGCCAAAGGACGACCUGCGGAAUAUUUGUGCACUCGAUCGGCGCCGCAAUCUCCCGAGCAAAGUUCACCUUUGCUGAAGAUCCAAGCGUAAGAAACUGAAGCGGCAGACGGCUUCAAGCCAUGAUCUGUGCGAAUCACCUUUAUGGGAGCUGCAAAAAAGAAUAAAAAGUGUAUCCCCAGUGUUUAUGUACUUUUAUUAUACUGUAACAGUAUAUAUCUGAACAAACCAUCUGAAACAUGGUGGAUCGGUAGCACUGCAGAAAGCCGAUGAAUGCUUGUGAAAACAUGGAAAUACACAAAGCAGCAUACGAUCUUACCA
rnacentral:lncRNA from 1 species